CCUACGGGAGGCAGCAGUAGGGAAUCUUUCACAAUGGGCGAAAGCCUGAUGGAGCAACGCCGCGUGCAGGAUGAAGGCCCUCGGGUUGUAAACUGCUUUUAUAAGCGAGAAAUAUGAUGGUAACUUAUGAAUAAGGAUCGGCUAACUACGUGCCAGCAGCCGCGGUCAUACGUAGGAUCCGAGCAUUAUCCGGAGUGACUGGGUGUAAAGAGUUGCGUAGGUGGCAUAAUAAGUAGCUAGUGAAAUCUGGUGGCUCAACCAUUCAGACUAUUAGCUAAACUGUUAAGCUCGAGACCGUUAGGGGUAACGGGAAUUUCUAGUGUAGGAGUGAAAUCCGUAGAUAUUAGGAGGAACACCAAUAGCGUAGGCAGGUUGCUGGGACGGUUCUGACACUAAGGCACGAAAGCGUAGGGAGCAAACGGGAUUAGAUACCCCAGUAGUC
rnacentral:rRNA from 1 species